GUGGAGCACGCCCACCAUGGGUGUCUUACUGGAUUCCAGACUGGGGGUCUGAAGCCUGGGUUGCACAGCCCAAGCGGAGGUGGUUAACCCAACCUUCUUAUCUUCAUAGAGGCAUGAAGUUCUCACCAAAUUGAGGUACUCUCUGGCAUCCUUCUUGGAAAUCUCAGUGUGGAACAAGCAGACAGACCUUGACUGUCUAAUAAAACUGAAAGGCACUUGCUUCAUUUCGAUCCAUUUUGAUGGAAGUCUCUGUGUGAAAGAUGCAAGCAACGCAGUGCAUUCUGCGAUCACAGCUGUCAGGAAGAGCAACCACAAUCUCUCGUCUAAGAAUCAUCAUCUGUUUUUGUGCUGUUACUGCUUGCCUCCCCUUUUGUUCCAGUUUUAUCGUGGAACAUCGUGCUGCCAUCUGGGAAGAGAAACACCAUAGUACAGGAGCAGCUGGUAAAUGGGAAUGGCCAAAUAAACAUUGGCACUCAUUCUGCCACUAG
rnacentral:lncRNA from 1 species